CCUACGGUGGGCAGCAGUGAGGAAUAUUGGUCACUGGCCGAGAGGCUGAACCAGCCAAGUCGCGUGAGGGAAGACGGCCCUACGGGUUGUAAACCUCUUUUGUCGGGGAGCAAAGAGAGUCACGUGUGACUCAUUGAGAGUACCCGAAGAAAAAGCAUCGGCUAACUCCGUGCCAGCAGACGCGGUAAUACGGAGGAUGCGAGCGUUCUCCGGAUUUAUUGGGUUUAAAGGGUGCGCAGGCGGUGGUGAAAGUCAGCGGUCAAAUUGCGGGGCUCAACCCCGUACUGCCGUUGAAACUGAAGCCCUGGAGUGCGUGAGAAGUAUGCGGAAUGAGGGGUGUAGCGGUGAAAUGCAGAGAUAGCACGCAGAACUCCGAGUGCGAAGGCAGCAUACCGGCGCGCAACUGACGCUCAUGCACGAAAGCGUGGGUAUCGAACAGGAUUAGAUACCCGGGUAGGC
rnacentral:rRNA from 1 species